AGUUACCCGCAAAAUUCACCAAAAAAAUUUCAAUUCCCUGCUAAUCUCCAUCAAGCUCCAUCCUUUUCACUGAGCUUACUCAUCCCUCCGCUCCAGUGCCUACGUUUGCAACCAAUAACUAUCCCCUACAUAAUAGUCCUAAUUUUGAAAUCAAAAACCCUAGGUUUACAGAGGAAGACGAUGUGAAAGUUUUGUAUUUCUUUGAGACUGAUUCAGGAUAAUUUCAGUUUCUAAGAAUCUGAAUACGGAUACGAUGGAUUAUGUAGAUCUUACAACGAUAAAUCCUAUAGAGAGAACGAUAUUGCAUUACCAGCUGCUCUUUUGAGGUACACAGUUAUUGUAUAGGAUUCGCAAUCGUUUCUAGAUGACGGCUGGUGCUGAAAUUGUUUGCAGUGAGGUGGUUCGUAAGGUGGAGACUAUGGACAAGUGUGGUUCUGGUGUGAAUGCAGUGGUGGUGUUGCUACUGUUGAUUAUAAUGUCGGUGGUAAUGGUAAUUGUAAUGGCAACGGCGAUUCCGACUAUGUGUAUGUGAACAGGAGUGUCGUGGUGAGUUUGUGAUGCAGGUGGUGUUAAUGUUGAUGGUGAAGUUGAGCAGUUUAAGAAUGAAGGGGCGACUGUUGAUCCGUUGGUGUUGGAGACUAAUGGUGUUGUUCACAGGGCUAUGAGUAUAACAAUAAGUGUUACGGAGGUAAGUGCGGUUAAAGACGAUGUAAAUGUUGAGAAUGGAUUCGUUGUUGAUCCUCAUGUGGUCCUGGUGAGUAAUGGUAUUGCUAAGAAACAAGUUGGUUAAGUAUUUUUUUUUAAAUCUUUUAUCCAUCGUACCUUCUUUGAUUAUUUCUUCAUAACUAUGAAUUUCUUCUGGGAUCCUUACACAAUCCAUUGCAGAUCCGACUAUAAUCUUUGAAUACUGUAUUCUUUUGUGAUGGUUUGAUCUUCUGAUUUUGUCUUCUUUGUUUAGAAUUUAAUUUUCUGAUAACGUAGUUGUAUAAUACCCCAAUUUUUGCUGCAACUUAGAGUGCUAGCUGGAGCAUCGUUGGACUAAAGGAACGGAAUAACAGAAUUUUUAAAGGUAAACAAAAGUAUGCUCAGGUCCUUUGCCAACAAAUUCAGGAUAUUGUUCCGUAUAGAUUGUUGGGUCUCUCUUUUAAAUGGUCGCGCCAUGUUACUUUCGUUACUCAUGUUUGGAAUUUCAAGGUUUGUGAUGUGAAGUGAUUCUUGUGUAUUUGGUCAUUUGAUGGAAGUGCAAAUUAUAACUUUUAUUUCAGAGGUCCGGGGUUUGGGUAUGUCUGAUAGAGCUGCAAAUUAUAACUUUUAUUUCAUUUCAGGUGGAAGCCUUUAUUACAAAAGCCUUAGUGGCAUACUAGGUCAAGAUGGUCGAGACAUAAAGUCUAAACUAUCUUGGAGACAAAAAGGAAGCUAUAAGGUGGAAAUAAGGUUUUUAAUGAAGAGAUUAAGAGGAUAUGAAGUAUGCAGAAGGAUAUAUGGUUAUAUAGUGUGGUUGUGGCUGAAGGAAGAUAGAAGGUUUACAAGAGAACUCAAGUUAUGACUAUGGGGUAUGGGGCGUGGGUUGGGUACAAAUCUCCAAGUUACC